UACGGGGGGGGCAAGCGUUGUUCGGAAUUACUGGGCGUAAAGGGCGCGUAGGCGGUCUGCUAAGUUGGAUGUGAAAACUCUGGGCUUAACCCAGAGCCUGCAUUCAAUACUGACAGGCUAGAGUUCUGGAGGGGAUAGCGGAAUUCCUGGUGUAGCGGUGAAAUGCGUAGAUAUCAGGAGGAACACCGGUGGCGAAGGCGGCUAUCUGGACAGAGUCUGACGCUGAGGCGCGAAAGCGUGGGGAGCGAACGGG
rnacentral:rRNA from 1 species